CGGGACUCCGCCAGCUUGACUUCAUUAACAGUCCGGUGCUGACCGCCCGCGCGUGCUGUCCAGCCAUGUUGCCCAAACGGUCGGACACAGUUUUGUGACCUACUUCGAGGCAAAAGUUCCCGCCUCACAAACAAUUUGGUGAAGUUGCUGACGAUCGGUGUACAUUUUGAACAUUUUCAUAUCAACGCGGUUUGCAGCCGAGGGCGUGCGCGGAGAAGAACGCGUGGUUACCGGACACCCGGAGGGCAGAAUUAGGGAGAAUCUGUAACUAAUGCGGCAGUGACCAUUUGAAGAUCUCAGCCCCACCUCUGAGGUGUGAUGUGACCGUAAUGAGUCUGGAGGCUGCAGUCCAGUCGACCAUGGAGAACGAUCUUAGGAUGGGCCUGUCUGUUUGGGCCAUUAUAGCCAUUGCUUGUAACUCGGUGGUGGGUGUCCUCAUCCUCAUCCUCUUCGUCAUCCUCUACAAGGCCUGCAAGGUGCCUUCACACCAAGAGAAAGUGCCAGUUUUCAAAGCAGUGGCGGAGCAGAAAAAGGCUGAACAGAAAUACCUGCUGACAGCAGCUUGAUAACAACAGACACGGACCUAAGAUGUAGACAUCUUUCAACUUUGAGUCCAAAAGUCGAGGUUUAGCGCGUGAGAAGACUAGCUGGACUCUGAACUUUGAGUUAUUUUCUACAUUUCUCUUCCUCUUCAACUACUCAUAUCAUUAUUUUCACUCACAUUUCGCCACCAUCAGCCCCUCAUCUACACCAUUCAGGGGAGCUCAGCGUGAGCUAACUGCAUUAAGAGUUGUGGCAAGGCCAACAACAACAACAAGCCGACCCAAUCCUCUUAUCUCUGCUGUGCUUCGCUGGGACUGUCCAUCUGUCAGUCUAUUUGCUUUGCUCUACACAGGCAGACCAUGAUCUCCUCCUCUGCUCCAUCCUUUUUCAUCCCUCCGUAUGACUCAACUGAGAGGAUGUGGAGGAGAAACUGCAAAGACACAAUGCAUUGUAGAGGGAGAGUUUGGGGUGAUGGGGUUGGGUGAGAGUCACAGUAACAUUUUAGGAGGAAAACACGCUCUUAAACAGCCUGGUUUUCGUUAGCUGCAGCACUUAUGAUGACAGCAACAGAGUUGCCAAACCCAAAAAAGCCCGAAAGAAUCAGGAGAGGAGAGAGGUGCUGCUGGAGAAAGUGUGUGUGAGUCACAACAGGGCAAAGAGGGAGGCAGACGGAGAUAAAGGAGUGAUAUUUGGUGGGGAUGAUAAAGUGCAGGGGGAAGAAUCAGAGAGGGUUUGAUGCUUUGAUGUGUUGUUUACAGAGAGGGAGCUCCAGGCUGCUGUUUGGCAGCCUCCCUGUUUGACACACAAGUCUCUGCUUCCACCGAUCUGACUCCCUUGGGAUUAAAAGCAGCAGCAAAAAUGUUACUCGUGUCCCCAGUGUGCCUCUCUUUCAUUUCAUGAGCUCCUCUAAAGACUGAAUAAGAUAUUUAUAGACAGCCUUCACCAGAAAUGACAGACUGACUGAAGACACACAGUCUCACAGUGACGAGUGAAUAUUGUAUUUAUUGGAGUGAAUUGCUGCAGCUAACACACUGACUGUGCAAUAUCAAAAUUGUCUAAAGGAUGGAAGAGGCAAUGUGACAAGCCGAUGAUAAGUUUAUCUCCAGAAUAGAAAGUGCUACAAAGCUCUAUAUGUUUUAGUCUUGUACAGUAGAUAGAAUUAGAAGUAGAUACAAUUUUGAUAAAUUAAAGGGCUGUUUACAGAAAUGUGCUCUUAUUUUGUGUCUGAGGAACAAAAAUCUGAUCUCAGGUAUGGUUUAAAACAUACAUAGGUUGCUAAAAUAAGAAUGUGCUGAUUUGAUCUUCUGUGUAUCACUUUCUGUUUUACUUAUUCAUAUUUCUGUGCAACGGAGACAUCACUUUACCAGUCAAAUAUCAGUCAUCAGAAUGACUGAUCUUGAAAGUAUUCACUUGCCUCAGCCCUACACUCUACAAAAUAGCUAUUUCACUGUGGUAAUUACCAUUGUGCUCUUUGCCUUGUGUUACUGAUGAGUUUAUUUUUGACUGACACAAUAAAAUUAUUUACUCUUGUUUCUAACAAA